rnacentral:misc_RNA from 1 species
AGACUCGUCUUAGCAAAGGAACGAAACGAGAAUAUCAAGGAGAUUUUCUUCUCUCACUCAUCAUCGUUUACAGUUAACUCAACAAAACUCGAUCUAGAAGAUGUCAUUAUACAGAGCGAAAGAUUAUAGUUUGCCUGUAACAUUUAAUGGAUGUCAUUUUAGGAAAUAGACUUGAAAUCUGCAACGAGUUUUAGUGUAAUGGUCAUGCAUGAUGAAUGUACACUUAUAAUGUGCAUCAUGAGCAUACUUGUACGAAUGAAACUUAGGACAUCGGUACAUCCCUUUACAUUUUUUGUACAUGUAUCAUAAUUAACAAAGAAAAAAAAUAAUUUUCUAUACAAACAAAAAAAUUCAAAAAUCGAAAAAUACGAGAGAAAGAGCAGUUACAUGAGUUAUCGUUCUUAUACUUUCAAGUCAGCUAAUGCACACGAACAUACCCACUCAAAAUGUCAAAGAUUUAAUUUGUUACAAAGUGCAUUUAUAGCAAGGAAAAUAAAAGAAGAGCUGAUUAUAAAAUUUUGUAUUUGAAUAUUCCAUAUGUUGUCAUACUAUUGAUAAGCAAUACAGCAAAACUUAUACGUUAAGAUACAUUCGUUAAGAAAAAGCUACACGCCAUCUUUAUAGUACAUGUAACAACUAGCUUAUAGAGACGAAUUAUUCCCAUCGUAUUCUAUUUUGCAUGUUAAGAAUCCUAUAAAAAGAAAUAAUCGUCAUUAAAAAUGUUUUUAAGGUCAUUUUGUAUAUUCAAUUAUUGUGGUUCACUUUAUGGAACAUUUAGGUUUCUCAUUUCAGAAUUCACCUACUUUUGUUAUCAUGUUGUACUAAAUAAUUCUAAUUGCUAUUAAAAAGGAAGAAUUUUUUUAGGUUCAGUGAUUCUGACCACACUAGUUGAUUUAACUAUAUCACGUGUCAUUUGGGUGACUGAUCCAAAGAUCACUUUAAAACCAGUGUCCUAUUGAGGUUUUUUUUUUAUUGAAUGUAUCCAAUUUUUUAAGAUAAAAUAAAAUGUAUUAAAAAAAUCAGCUUGCUAUCCU